CUAGAACUGCCCAGGGCGCCUCACUCAAUCCCCUUUCUCCCUCGUCUCAAUCCACCCCUCUCUCGUACGGCGCCGCCUAGGGUUGCGACUCACGCCGCCGCCGACGGCCAUCGCAGGGGCCAUCCCUUCUUGUUCCACCAGCCACCCCAGUCGCGAGCGACCACCUCCCCCUCCCUCCCAUGGCGCCACUGCCCCAACCCAUGCCCAGCCCCCUCUUCCCACGUUUCCAUGGCAGCAUAUCUGAGGGGGGCAAGGGCCCUUUGCUCCCGGUGGUCUGAAGCGAGGCAGGCGGCCUCUGCUUCCUCCGCGUCCAGCGAACUAGGAACAGGGCGGCAGGUAGCCCCAUCUCUCCCAUCUACUUUCGGUGACCACGAGUAGCCACCCAUGGCGGCAGUGACAUGGGAAGAAGAAGGCCGUUCACAAGACCACGACCACUGAUGACAAGAGGCUGCAAAGGACCUUGAAAAGGGUAGGAGCGAACACCAUUCUUUGUAUCGAAGAGGUCAGCAUUGUCAAGGAUGACGUAGUUAUCCAAUUUCAGAAUUCAAAAGUGCAAGCAUCCAUCACUUCAAACACAUGGGUUGUCACUUGUCAGUGGAACACCACACACAAAAAAGCUGCAAGAUCUGCUGGCAACACUUAUCAACCAACUUAUGUAAGGUCGGACUUGUUUUGGAUAGAACUCAAGAGUUGAAGCUGAGGAAGAUAAUGAUGGUGAAGAAGAACAUGAUGAAGAGUGCAUGGAAUCUGGUCAGCAUUGAUUUAUCAUGGAAUCCUAGCUCAAAGUGCAUGAAGAUCCCAUGAUGACCAGAUUACAUAAGUUAAUCUGGAAUAAGUUUAUCAUUGUUUUACACUUUUAGUUCUUGGUCAGCAUUGAUUUGUUCUCUCCAUCAAAAGAACUAAUUGCUCAAUAAAAAGAGAAGUGAAACAGAGCCGUUGUCAAUUUUUUAACAAUGUUCAGAUUCAUUUAAUUGGUUUCCCUGUGUUUUAUUGAAGACUACAAUAUGGUUUAUGGUAUACGGGUACAGAGCCUAUCUGCAAUUAGUACGGAACACUGCUAGUUGCUCUUAAUAAUAGUUAAAUCUGUCAGAACAUUGUAUCUUGUUUACACUGCUAGCUGCUUAUUGCUUAAUAGUAAUAGUUAAAUUUGGCAUUACAGAACACUCCAAUUAGCACAUCCAUAGUACAGAACAGAGCAUAAUACAUCGCUAGUUGCUUCUGAAGUUGCUAUUUCUGAAUCCUGUUUCUAGGCCAAUAUAGUACAUUGUAUCUUUAUCAAGAUCUUGACUAAGUAUCCCUAAAAAAAGAUCUUGACUAACUAUAUUUCAAUAUGGCAGCAUGCGUAAUUUUUCCAUUCUACCCAGCCAUGAAGAAGGCGCCCACCCAUGAGCUAUUAAUCAGUAAGUAUCAGGAAAAACCUAGUAUUUAUAAUCUGUAUGUACAGAUUAAUAAGCAGUGUACACAUAUUUAGUUAUCAUGCAGAUACUGGUUAUGCCUUUAUAAAUUGCAAAAGAAAUGUGUAACCUGGUUCUACGUUUGAGAUACUAAUUCUAAAUUUCCGAUAUAUUUUUCCUUGUAUGACCUGAAUGAACAGUAAAACAAAUAUUGGUCGUUCGCACAACUCAUUUCUAUGACACAUCCAUGGCCACUGCUGGGAGUCGAUGUGUGGUCUUCAUGUUCCUAAAUGCUACUUUUAUAGAUUAGAUAAGUGUAUUCCUCAUUUUGUGCUCUUGUGUGUGCACAGUGCAGAUAUGAAUUCUGCCCGUAUUCAAUUUCAGAAAUUAAUUGAACAUUCUAAUAAAGGAAAUGAACCAUGAAGCCGGCGAUCCGCGUCAACUGGAUGUUUUUUGCUUUCAUUUUGUACAACUGAUGUCUCAUACUUGCGUCUUUUUGCUGUCCUUCUGUAAACCUGAUGUAUGGUGUCUUGUCUUGGUUCUUAGAACAGACUGAACUGUAUGUAUGUGACAAUUAGUUAAUGGAAUAAAAAUGGUUUGGUGCACCUGAUGUAUGA